rnacentral:tRNA from 1 species
UGGAAAUAAUAGGAAUUGAACCUAUAUUCUUUGUUUGCAAAACAAAUACUUUUCCUAUUAAGUUAUAUUCCC